rnacentral:rRNA from 1 species
AUGUACAAAGAGAGACGAGGGAAGUUGAUCAGUGAUGCUUGGCAACAUGGAGUAGAUAAUUUUCUAGAUCAUGCAUUCUCAUUGCCCGAUGCUGCUGCAGACGGGAAAUCCCGUUGUCCUUGCAGCAAGUGCUUUUGCGGUCAUAAGUGCACAAGGGAUGUCAUGGCCACACACUUGUGCAGCAAUGGGUUCAUGUUAGGAUAUGAGAGAUGGACUAGCCACGGGGAGUCUGAUGCACCUGAAAAUGUAGAGCAUGAUAACGUGGGGGAUGGAGAUAGAAUGAAUGACAUGCUAGUUGAUGCAAUUGUUGCUGAAGGAGUUUCUAAAGGUGAUGAGCCAACAAAAGCUGCUAAAAAAUUCUAUGAAAUGUUGAUGGAAGCCGACAAACCUUUGCAUGAGAAGACCACACAAUCACGUCUAUCCAUUGUAGGAAGGCUAAUGACUAUUAAAACACAACAUAAUCUGUCAGAAGCUUGUUACAAUGAGAUGAUGACUCUUAUACAUGACAUUGUUGGGGAUGAUGCUGCAAAAGAUCUCCCAGCAAACUUCCAUAGGUCCAAGAAGCUUGUGCAUAGUGUAGCAAUGCCUUACGUCAAAAUUCAUGCAUGCCCCAAUAAUUGUAUGAUUUAUUAUAAGGAGAAUGAAAAUAAAGAAAAAUGCACUAUCUGCAAAGAGCCUAGAUAUGAUCAUGUUCGCACAAUAUGGAAGAAGAAUCCUCGAUAUAAUAAUGGAGGAACACGCGUGCAGAAUGAUGGUUGCACCUUAGAUGUAUUUCAGCAUGUUGGAAACCUACAUGGGAGGCCUAUUGCCCGAGAACUAUCGCGUGAAGAGUUGAAUGCAGCAAGGCUGUACAUUUUGACUAACUGCUCUGCUGUUGAUAGAUUUCGUGAAACAUAUGAAGAUGAAAAAUAUGCAAGUCAUCCAAACUUGCCAUCGGAGGGCCUUGAUGAAAUGAUGGCAUCCGAAUUUGUGGAAUGGUUCGAGAUUGCUUGCAAAGAAGAUCCCAAUUCUGAUGAGGACUUGUGGAAUUUAGCUAAUGGAUGCAGCUCUAGAGCCUAUUCCUAUAGCUCCUAUGAUGUGAAUGGCUUUCGCUUUAGAUCAGAGAUAUCUGAGAAAAAACGUAGAAGGUUGAAAACGGUGAACACAGGGGUUUGUUUGUCAUCCUUCAUCUCAGAGACUGAACAACUUGAGUACUAUGGUGUCAUUGAGGAAAUUAUCAAAGUAUCCUUCAUAGCUGGUAGAAAAAUUGAGAUGGUACUCUUCAAAUGCCGUUGGUUUGACCCCAUCAAGGGUGUGAAGCCAAAUGCAAAAUUAGGUUUGGUGGAGAUAAAGUGGUCUUCAAGGCUAAGUAAUUUUGAACCAUUUGCCAUGGCUCACCAAGCUACGCAAGCUUAUUACUUGCAUUACGCAUCCUCCAGGAGAGAUCUUCGUGAUUGGAGGGUUGUUUACACUAUUCAGCCAAGUACCAGCUUGAGUAACUUUGAUGACUGCGCAAAUGACCCAUCUACUACAGAUGAAUAUUUCCAGGAAGGUGGUCAGCUGGGUAGUUUUUCUGUAGAUGGUGGCAAAUUUGUUGAUGAAUCUACUGAGCCAAGAAAGGAGUCAGAUGAUGUGGAGCUUGAUCCCUCUGAAAUUUAUGUAAUAGAAAAUCAAGGCAAUAAUUAUGAGGGAGAAGAAUCUUCAGAAGAUGAAUUGGACGAGAGUACUGAUGAGGAAGAAGAAGAUUUACCUGAAGAGGAAGGACAAGAAGAGACAUAUGAGACCGAAGAUGAGGAUGAUGCAAUAGAGCAUGACUCUGAAUAUGACGAUGAUGAUUACUGA